rnacentral:rRNA from 1 species
CCCUUAGAUGUUCUGGGCCGCACGCGUGCUACACUGAGUGGAUCAGCGGGUCAGGUUGCGCGAAAGUGUUUCCUAAUCUUGAAAUCCGCUCGUGAUGGGGAUUGACGGUUGCAAUUUUCCGUCAUGAACGAGGAAUACCUUGUAAGCGCGGGUCAUCAUCCCGCGCUGAAUACGUCCCUGCCCUUUGUACACACCGCCCGUCGCUCCUACCGAUUGAGUGGUCUGGUGAGGCUUUGGGAUCUGAGCAAAGAGAGCGUUUCGCUCGUUUUGCCCGGAAAACUCAGUCGAACCUUAUCAUUUAGAGGAAGGAGAAGUCGUAACA